rnacentral:lncRNA from 10 species
GCCGCUUCGCCGUGCAGGUGGUGGCGAAGCGCUCCUCCGAAAGGUUUCGGAAGCUGGUGGUAGCUCUGAAGAUAACGCUGCGUUAGGGCAUACUGCGGCGGAGGAUGGAACUCCGAUUGAAAGCAGUUGCUGGAGUGGAGCACGAAUUUCAACAAUGAAGUCUCACUCUGUUCCCCCAGGCUGGAGUGCAGUGGCACGAUCUCGGCUCACUGCAACCUCCACCUCCCGGGUUCAAGCGAUUCUCCUGCCUCAGCCUCCUGAGUAGCUGGGAUUACAAGCACGCACCACCACGCCUGGCUAAUUUUUGUAUUUUUAGUAGAGACAGGAUUUCACCAUGUUGGCCAGGCUGGUCUCGAACUUCUGACCUCAAGUGAUCCACCCGCCUCAGCCUCCCAAAGUGCUGGGAUUACAGGCGUGAGCCACUGUGCCCGGCUUUUUUUUUUUUUCAUUUUUAAAAUUUUUAACUUCAGGGGUCCAAGUGCAGAGCCGCAUGUUGAAGUGUGAGGCGUGAAAGGGUAUGUCUGAUAUUUGCUUUAAAAUGCUCCAGCAAAGAAAUUAAGGGAUGGAUGAAGCAAAAGAGGUAUGGUGGCUCAUGCCUCUAAUCUCAGCACUUUGGGAGGCCGAAGCAGGCAGAUCACCUGAGGUCAGGAGUUUGAGACCAUCCUGACCAACAUGGUGAAACUCGUCUCUACUACAAACAUAAAAAAAUUAGCUGGGCGUGGUACCACGCACCUGUAAUCCCAGCUACUCCUCUGGAGGCUCAGACAGGAGAACUGCUUGAACCGGGAGGCGGAGGUUGCAGUGAGCUGAGAUCGCACCAAUCCAUUCCAGCCUGGGC